rnacentral:pre_miRNA from 1 species
GUGGGUACAAGGAAUCUACUUUAUUCAACACACUAACCUAAUUUCUGAGACAUAUUACAUACCUGAAACAUGUCUUAGAAAUUAGGGUUUUUUUUUUGUGUUGUGUGCUGAACAAAGUAGAUUCCUUGUACCCA